GCUUUAUAAAUAAUUUAAAUUUAAUUAAAUUAAGUAAUAAAAGUUAAAUUUAAUUAUUUUAUUUUGUUGGGGUGAUGUGAGUAUAAUUAUAGUUAACUGCUUAGAAAGAAUUCUGUAAUAAAAGAGUUAAUAGUUAUAUGAUCCUUUGUAAAGAUUAAAAGACCAAGUU
rnacentral:rRNA from 1 species